rnacentral:sRNA from 1 species
UAAGUCAAUCCAACAAAAACAAGACAAA